rnacentral:rRNA from 1 species
UACGGAGGGGGCUAGCGUUGUUCGGAAUUACUGGGCGUAAAGGGCUCGUAGGUGGCCAACUAAGUCGGACGUGAAAUCCCUCAGCUUAACUGGGGAACUGCGUCCGAUACUGGAUGGCUUGAGUUUGGGAGAGGGAUGCGGAAUUCCAGGUGUAGCGGUGAAAUGCGUAGAUAUCUGGAGGAACACCGGUGGCGAAGGCGGCGUUCUGGACUGUUACUGACACUGAUGAACGAAAGCCAGGGGAGCAAACGGG